rnacentral:lncRNA from 1 species
GGUGAGAAAACUGUUAUCCAAAUAAGAAAGCUGUUUACCUAGAUGAGAAAAUUGGUUGCUUGGUUAAACUGGUUUAUACAAAUAUACUAAAGCAAACAGUGAAGCAAGAGUAACAGCAGUGGUGGCAGCAUCUGGAUCCUUGAUUGACAGCAUUAUGGAAAGUUACUGGCCAGAUACUCCUUACUUAAGUUGGCACCAAUCGACUUGCCUGGGGAUCAGUCAAACGGGGUGAGGCGAGGGGAACUUCAGGAGAUCCUUCCCAGAUGGAUGCCAAACUCCUUUGAUAGCCCUGUCAUUGUCCAAAAUUUCUUCAAGUUUAUGUGUAUAAGAAUAAAAUCUUGUUCAAGUUUA